rnacentral:rRNA from 1 species
GACGAACGCUGGCGGCGUGCUUAACACAUGCAAGUCGAACGGAAAGGCCCUGCUUUUGUGGGGUGCUCGAGUGGCGAACGGGUGAGUAACACGUGAGUAACCUGCCCUUGACUUUGGGAUAACUUCAGGAAACUGGGGCUAAUACCGGAUAGGAGCUCCUGCUGCAUGGUGGGGGUUGGAAAGUUUCGGCGGUUGGGGAUGGACUCGCGGCUUAUCAGCUUGUUGGUGGGGUGGUGGCUUACCAAGGCUUUGACGGGUAGCCGGCCUGAGAGGGUGACGGGCCACAUUGGGACUGAGAUACGGCCCAGACUCCUACGGGAGGCAGCAGUGGGGAAUAUUGCACAAUGGGCGGAAGCCUGAUGCAGCAACGCCGCGUGCGGGAUGACGGCCUUCGGGUUGUAAACCGCUUUCGCCUGUGACGAAGCGUGAGUGACGGUAAUGGGUAAAGAAGCACCGGCUAACUACGUG